rnacentral:rRNA from 1 species
UCGAACGUACGGUAACGACGACUACCUCGUUUAGAUUGAAGGAGCUUGCUCCUGAUUGAUAAACAUUUGAGUGAGUGGCGGACGGGUGAGUAACACGUGGGUAACCUGCCCUAAAGUGGGGGAUAACAUUUGGAAACAGAUGCUAAUACCGCAUAAAACCUAACACCGCAUGGUGUAGGGUUGAAAGAUGGUUUCGGCUAUCACUUUAGGAUGGACCCGCGGUGCAUUAGUUAGUUGGUGAGGUAAAGGCUCACCAAGACCGUGAUGCAUAGCCGACCUGAGAGGGUAAUCGGCCACACUGGGACUGAGACACGGCCCAGACUCCUACGGGAGGCAGCAGUAGGGAAUCUUCCACAAUGGACGAAAGUCUGAUGGAGCAACGCCGCGUGAGUGAAGAAGGUUUUCGGAUCGUAAAACUCUGCUGUUGGAGAAGAAUGUAUCUGAUAGUAACUGAUCAGGUAGUGACGGUAUCCAACCAGAAAGCCACGGCUAACUACGUG